rnacentral:tRNA from 1 species
GGAUCGGGUACGUCGCGUACUCGUCCCGCUUCUCGCGCAGGAUCCGAGCGGCGCGCCCGACGAUCCGGGCCCGUUCCGCGACGGGCCUGAGCCGCCA